UUGUGCUCGCUUUGUCACGUAUAUACUAAAAUUGGAAUGAUACAGAGAUUAGCAUGACCCCUGUGCAAGGGUGACAUGAAAAUUCAUCAAGCAUUCUACAUUUUU
rnacentral:snRNA from 1 species